rnacentral:rRNA from 1 species
UUGGCAUGGGCGAAAGCCUGAUCAGCCUGCCGCGUGUGUGAAGAAGGUCUUCGGAUUGUAAAGCACUUUAAGUUGGGAGGAAGGGUUGUAGAUUAAUACUCUGCAAUUUUGACGUUACCGACAGAAUAAGCACCGGCUAACUCUGUGCCAGCAGCCGCGGUAAUACAGAGGGUGCAAGCGUUAAUCGGAAUUACUGGGCGUAAAGCGCGCGUAGGUGGUUUGUUAAGUUGGAUGUGAAAUCCCCGGGCUCAACCUGGGAACUGCAUUCAAAACUGACUGACUAGAGUAUGGUAGAGGGUGGUGGAAUUUCCUGUGUAGCGGUGAAAUGCGCAGAUAUAGGAAGGAACACCAGUGGCGAAGGCGACCACCUGGACUAAUACUGACACUGAGGUGCGAAAGCGUGGGGAGC